rnacentral:misc_RNA from 1 species
UUGGAUUGUGGGCCUCGGCCCCAUUACAAAAAACCCUUCAUAACCUCUUGUGAACAUGUCGGCCCUCGGGCCUUCAACUCCAAACUUUUGUGUGUCGUAUGAACGUAACAACUAUUAAAAAUAACA